CGUGGAGGUGUCUGGGUUCCACUUCAUGACCAAUACGGCGGCGUUGUCGAUGAUCUCCUGGAUCAUCGCGUCCGUGAAGUUCUUCACGGGAAAGCGCUGCCGGGUUGGAAAUGAAACGGAAGGCCUAGAAGGGGAAGAAGAGUAGGCCGAUAGUCUGGAAGGGGAAGAAGAGUAGGCCGCCAACGACGGCGUUUUGGAGUGUAAGCACAAGCUCCUCAUUCCUUUUAUUGGCAUUUUCAAUUCUGAUAAUCCGAUUGGCCUGGAUUGGACUGGAUUAGAUUUUCUCGAGAAAAUUGGUGGUCAGUCUGUAAAUGAUUGUAUUG
rnacentral:lncRNA from 1 species